GUCUCACCUCUCUCUCUCACUCUUUAUCUCUCUGUACCAAAGCAGAUGAACGGGAGCCCCACCCCCAACCUCACUCUCUCUUCUCUUGCUUCACCAAGUUUUGGUCGGAGUUUCAGACCACUACAAGAAAUAAGGGCUGCGACUACAUUUAUUUAGUGACAAUAAUAAUAAAUGUCAAAAAUUAAUUAGUUUUGUGAUAUUUAUUAAAAAUUAUUGCUAAUAUAAUGACAUUUGAUAAAAAAUGUGAGGAGUUUAUGACAUUUUGAUUUAAAAUACGCAAUACUAAUAAGAAGUUAUCGACAAUUACAAUAAAGGAAAGGAACUUUUAUCUAAUGUGUAACUUUUAAAUAUGUGAAACGAAAGAAAUUAGACCACAAUGGCGGCUCCGGUGAUGUAAUUCUUCUAGGUCUCCUUCACUCUACUGCAACGGUCCCAUGGAUGCCUUCUUGCUGCCCUUUGGAAUCCUCUACUAAUGGUGCCUUUUCGUCGGCUUCUUUUCUCUACCUUUGUUAUCUUCGUCGACGAGAAGGAUUGAGAGAGCAAAGUAGCGACUUGGGACGAGAUCGGUAGAGUUCAAAUUCCUACAGACGAUAUAUUAUUUAAAAUUAAGAGAAGAUUUCCUUCUGAAGUUCGAUGCCUCCACUGGUUCGAAUAUGAAUUAGUUCGUCUCUCUUUCUCUGCUACAAUCAGGGUUCCAUUGCACUACAAAGUGCUCAAUUUAGAUGUAAACUGGUCUUGGGACUCUAUGUUCAUUUCUUGUACAGUUAACUUUUGCUGACUGAUUAUAGUGUGCUCCUUAACGACGGUUGCUAAGGUGAUUAUCAAAUGGGGAAGUACACAAGCGACUUGAGGAGGAAGCUACUAAAAGAAAGUAGCAGAAGGAAUGGAAACAAGAGCUGUGAAGAAGUGAAGAGAUCUCUUGUCCAAAUAUUAGUUUGAAUCCAACAUUGUUUAACUGUAAAGAUGUAUAAUUAUCCAUAGUUUUAUUCUUGGAAUGAAUUCUUGGGAUCUUCUGUUUUCAAAUAUUUCAUUUUUGUUUAAAUUGUCUAUGUGAAUAACAUUUGUGGGUAUAAUUUGAA